AACAAACGCUGGCGGCGUGCCUGAUACAUGCAAGUCGAACGGGGAAAGCUUUCGGGUGAGUACUAGUGGCGCACGGGUGAGGAACGCGUGGAUAAUCUGCCUUAGAGUGGGGGAUAACUAGUCGAAAGAUUAGCUAAUACCGCAUAAGACCACAGGAGCUGCGGCUCAAGGGGUCAAAGGUUUUUCGCUCUAAGAUGAGUCCGCGUAAGAUUAGCUAGUUGGUGAGGUAACGGCUCACCAAGGCGACGAUCUUUAACUGGUCUGAGAGGAUGAUCAGUCACACUGGAACUGAGACACGGUCCAGACUCCUACGGGAGGCAGCAGUAGGGAAUAUUGCACAAUGGAGGAAACCCUGAUGCAGCGACGCCGCGUGAGUGAUGAAGGCCUUCGGGUCGUAAAGCUCUGUCGCAGGGGAAUAACACAAUGAAGGUACCCUGUAAGAAAGGAUCGGCUAACUUCGUGCCAGCCGCCGCCGUAACAC
rnacentral:rRNA from 1 species